GGGGCUGAUUCUGGAUUCGACGGGAUUUGCGAAACCCAAGGUGCAUGCCGAGGGGCGGUUGGCCUCGUAAAAAGCCGCAAAAAAAUAGUCGCAAACGACGAAAACUACGCUUUAGCAGCUUAAUAACCUGCUUAGAGCCCUCUCUCCCUAGCCUCCGCUCUUAGGACGGGGAUCAAGAGAGGUCAAACCCAAAAGAGAUCGCGUGGAUGCCCUGCCUGGGGUUGAAGCGUUAAAACGAAUCAGGCUAGUCUGGUAGUGGCGUGUCCGUCCGCAGGUGCCAGGCGAAUGUAAAGACUGACUAAGCAUGUAGUACCGAGGAUGUAGGAAUUUCGGACGCGGGUU
rnacentral:tmRNA from 1 species